GCCUUGGUGGAUCAAUCGGUAGAUCAUCCCUGUUCAGUGACUCCUGUAGAAGGUUUCUCACAGGAAGCCGGAGGUUCGAAUCCUCCCCAAGGCA